UACAGAGGUCCCAAGCGUUGUUCGGAUUCACUGGGCGUAAAGGGUGCGUAGGCGGUUUGACAAGUCUGAUGUGAAAUCCCGCAGCUUAACUGCGGAACUGCAUUGGAAACUGUCUGACUAGAGGAAUGGAGGGGAGACUGGAAUGCUUGGUGUAGCAGUGAAAUGCGUAGAUAUCAAGCGGAACACCAGUGGCGAAGGCGAGUCUCUGGACAGUUCCUGACGCUGAGGCGCGAAGGCCAGGGGAGCAAACGGG
rnacentral:rRNA from 1 species